rnacentral:rRNA from 1 species
CGUAGGGCGGAGCGUUGUCCGGAAUUAUUGGGCGUAAAGGGACGCGCAGGCGGUCUCUUAAGUCUGAUGUGAAAGGCCACGGCUCAACCGUGGGAUGGCAUUGGAAACUGGGGGACGUUGAGUGCAGGAGAGGGGAGCGGAAUUCCCGGUGUAGCGGUGAAAUGCGUAGAGAUCGGGAGGAACACCAGUGGCGAAGGCGGCUCUCUGGCCUGUAACUGACGCUGAGGCGCGAAAGCGUGGGGAGCGAACAGGAUU